rnacentral:tRNA from 1 species
GGAUGGUUGGCAGAGAGGUAAUGCAGCGGAUUGCUAAUCCGUACAACUAUAUUUAGUUGCGUAGAUUCAAAUCCUACACCAUCCGCCA